rnacentral:rRNA from 1 species
GAGUUUGAUCCUGGCUCAGAUUGAACGCUGGCGGCAUGCCUUACACAUGCAAGUCGAACGGCAGCACGGGAGCUUGCUCCUGGUGGCGAGUGGCGAACGGGUGAGUAAUGCAUCGGAACGUAUCCUGGAGUGGGGGGAUAACGUAGCGAAAGUUACGCUAAUACCGCAUAUUCUGUGAGCAGGAAAGCGGGGGACCUUCGGGCCUCGCGCUCUUGGAGCGGCCGAUGUCGGAUUAGCUAGUUGGUGAGGUAAAGGCUCACCGAGGCGACGAUCCGUAGCAGGUCUGAGAGGAUGAUCUGCCACACUGGAACUGAGACACGGUCCAGACUCCUACGGGAGGCAGCAGUGGGGAAUUUUGGACAAUGGGGGCAACCCUGAUCCAGCCAUGCCGCGUGAGUGAAGAAGGCC